rnacentral:rRNA from 1 species
UGAAGCACGUACGCCAGUAUGUGUGGAGCCGUCCUUGAAAUACCACCCUUGUAGUGUUGAUGUUCUAACGUCGACCCCUAAUCGGGGUUGCGGACAGUGCCUGGUGGGUAGUUUGACUGGGGCGGUCUCCUCCCAAAGAGUAACGGAGGAGCACGAAGGUGGGCUAAUCACGGUUGGACAUCGUGAGGUUAGUGCAAUGGCAUAAGCCCGCUUGACUGCGAGAAUGACAAUUCGAGCAGGUGCGAAAGCAGGUCAUAGUGAUCCGGUGGUUCUGAAUGGAAGGGCCAUCGCUCAACGGAUAAAAGGUACUCCGGGGAUAACAGGCUGAUACCGCCCAAGAGUUCAUAUCGACGGCGGUGUUUGGCACCUCGAUGUCGGCUCAUCACAUCCUGGGGCUGAAGUCGGUCCCAAGGGUAUGGCUGUUCGCCAUUUAAAGUGGUACGCGAGCUGGGUUUAGA